rnacentral:rRNA from 1 species
CAGCCCUACGGGAGGCAGCAGUGGGGAAUAUUGCACAAUGGGGGAAACCCUGAUGCAGCGACGCCGCGUGAGUGAAGAAGUAUUUCGGUAUGUAAAGCUCUGUCAGCAGGGAAGAAAGCAAUGACGGUACCUGACCAAGAAGCCCCGGCUAACUACGUGCCAGCAGCCGCGGUAAUACGUAGGGGGCAAGCGUUAUCCGGAAUUACUGGGUGUAAAGGGAGCGUAGACGGCUGUGCAAGUCUGGAGUGAAAGGCGGGGGCCCAACCCCCGGACUGCUCUGGAAACUGUAUGGCUGGAGUGCCGGG